rnacentral:rRNA from 1 species
UGGGGGAAUAUUGCACAAUGGGCGAAAGCCUGAUGCAGCAACGCCGCGUGAGGGACGACGGCCUUCGGGUUGUAAACCUCUUUUAGCAAGGAAGAAGCGAAAGUGACGGUACUUGCAGAAAAACGCGCCGGCUAACUACGUGCCAGCAGCCGCGGUAAUACGUAGGGCGCAAGCGUUAUCCGGAAUUAUUGGGCGUAAAGAGCUCGUAGGCGGUUUGUCGCGUCUGCUGUGAAAACCCGAGGCUCAACCUCGGGCCUGCAGUGGGUACGGGCAGACUAGAGUGCGGUAGGGGAGAUUGGAACUCCUGGUGUAGCGGUGGAAUGCGCAGAUAUCAGGAAGAACACCGAUGGCGAAGGCAGAUCUCUGGGCCGUAACUGACGCUGAGGAGCGAAAGGGUGGGGAGCAAACAGGCUUAGAUACCCUGGUAGUCCACCCGUAAACGUUGGGAACUAGUUGUGGGGUCCAUUCCACGGAUUCCGUGACGCAGCUAACGCAUUAAGUUCCCCGCCUGGGGAGUACGGCCGCAAGGCUAAACU